AACCAUUCUCACCUGCGGCUAGACCUGCGGAGGGAUCAUUACAGUGCUCGUCGGGACGUCGCGCCCCCUUCAGGCGUGGGCGUCUCGCACCUGCCCAACCGUGUCUACCGUUUCCCUUGUUGCCUCGGCGGGACUGCCGGGCAGGAGGCCGCCUCACUGUGGGCCAGGACUCCUGCGCGCGGCCCCCCGCGUUACCUUAGCUGACGCGGUGCCACGCUACCCCGAUCAGCGCCCGCCAGA
rnacentral:misc_RNA from 1 species